rnacentral:rRNA from 1 species
UACAGGGACUGCGAGCGUUAUUCGGAUUCACUGGGCGUAAAGGGUGCGCAGGCGGCCGAGUGUGUGAGGCGUGAAAGCCCGGGGCUUAACCCCGGAAUUGCACCUCAAACUACACGGCUAGAGCAUUGGAGAGGGUAGCAGAAUUCAUGGUGUAGCAGUGAAAUGCGUAGAUAUCAUGAGGAAUACCAGAGGCGAAGGCGGCUACCUGGACAAUUGCUGACGCUCAGGCACGAAAGCGUGGGGAGCAAAAGGG